GCCAGAGGAUGUGAGAUAUAAUUAUAGAGAGAGACUUGAGGAAUUUUGGUUGCAAUUAUUUGGCUUUUAGCCUUUCAUUUCUUAUUCACGAAUGAAAGAAACUGAUCUUCACGAAUCAAUUUAAAGUGGAAACUGAAAAUUUGAAUCCAGUAUAAAGACUUUCAGAUACUUCAAAGAUAUUCUUGGUCCUCUUUGUUCUCGAAGAAGCUCCUUGAGUUAACUGUAUACAAUCGUGUCUGAUUUGCUAAAUUUUUAUGACUUUCUUUUACAAUCUUUAGAGGAAUCAAUACUUUAUUGUUUGUUAGAUAUCAUCUAAUGUCUUUGUUUGAAAGCAAGACUUUCAUCAAACAGGUAAGAAUCCCAAUGGGGCCUCCUGAAAGUGACAUCUCCUCAUGCUGCUCUCGCAUCAAGUCAUUCAACCGGUGCCAUUAUAUAUAUUAAGGACUGCGAAGAAGACUAAUUACAACAUUGUAAAUGUAUCACUUUUAGUCAAUAUGUAAAUAUUAUCCAUGGAUUUAAAGAAUAUGUCACCUUGCAAGGCAACAUUCAAGGAGGGAUAUAUAUUUGUUCCUCUAUGUAUGUAAAUAAAUAACGUCCAAUAGUUAAUAUGCAAUGUCCUCUUUAUCCAAUUUGAUAGUUA